rnacentral:lncRNA from 1 species
GAAGGAGAAAUGGAGGAUAAAGGGGAGGAGGGUGCUGUGAUGGGCUUUUGAAGGGACACAAGGGGCUGCUGAAAUGGUGUGAUCUUAAAAGUAACCACAAUCCCUGGAUGGGUAUUGUCGAGGUGAAGAAGAAUAGGAAGGACAACGUCUGCCUGUGGAGAACUUAUGAAAUUGUGUUUUAUUCCAACAACCUUGACUUUGACCUUCAUGGCACUUUUCAGUAUAUGAAUUUAUCCAUGGAGAUAAUUAAGCUGCAGUCCCCACACUCUCUCCUUUUCUCCUGCCUGCUGCAGCAUGCUGGGUCCUAUGACAGCAUCACUUCUGUCCUUUCUCAGACAGCAUCCAGAUGGUCUCUUCCUGAAGUGAGCCUGUUCUGGAAAAAGCCUCACCACUGUCACUCACCAGAGGACGAAGCUGACCUGAAAAGACUGUGCACAGCACAAAAGGGAUAUCAGCCGAGGGCUUGUGACUGCCUCCCUGUGCUUUGGACAAGCAGAUCAUGUUUUCAGACUAUGCCUUCUAAUCUGGAAUAUUCUGAGUAUUUUUAGUAUUUCCUGCUGGUUUUAAAUGGAUCCUGCAAUUUUCUAAGUGUUAAAGCAGGGAGACGCUGCUCUCUGAGCUACAAACACAGCAGUCAAGACACUGAUUGAUGGCUGUUCCCUAGCGCUGCAGAGACUGGUGGAUGCACCUGGUUUGUUGUGACGUGUAAGUCCGGGCAGAUGCUGGCUCUGAAAACAAUUUACCUGUAUUUGAUUGACUCCCCUGUUUAUUCAUCAAAGCCUUUAGAAUAAAGUCCGGACAAAGUGUUUAAGUGCUGAAGUC